rnacentral:tRNA from 1 species
AGCCCUUUAGCUUACUGGUGAAAGCUGAGUCCUCAUAAGGCUUAGAGGUGGGAUCGUAACCCACAAGGGCUA